rnacentral:rRNA from 1 species
GUGGGGAAUAUUGGACAAUGGGCGAAAGCCUGAUCCAGCCAUGCCGCGUGUGUGAAGAAGGUCUUCGGAUUGUAAAGCACUUUAAGUUGGGAGGAAGGGCAGUAAGUUAAUACCUUGCUGUUUUGACGUUACCGACAGAAUAAGCACCGGCUAACUUCGUGCCAGCAGCCGCGGUAAUACGAAGGGUGCAAGCGUUAAUCGGAAUUACUGGGCGUAAAGCGCGCGUAGGUGGUUCAGCAAGUUGAAGGUGAAAUCCCCGGGCUCAACCUGGGAACUGCCUCCAAAACUACUGAGCUAGAGUACGGUAGAGGGUAGUGGAAUUUCCUGUGUAGCGGUGAAAUGCGUAGAUAUAGGAAGGAACACCAGUGGCGAAGGCGACUACCUGGACUGAUACUGACACUGAGGUGCGAAAGCGUGGGGAGCAAACAGGAUUAGAUACCCUAGUAGUCC